GUUUGGAAUCAAUGUGCAAUAAAAGCAUUUUUAGAAGGACUAGAAAGAAAUGGAGAGCACUGUUGGCUGUUAGGUGAUUCUGGAUAUGCUCAACGCCCCUGGAUGAUGACUCCAAUCAUAGGUGCAGCUCCGGGAUCGCCAGAAGAGU